rnacentral:rRNA from 2 species
UGGGGGAUAUUGCACAAUGGGCGCAAGCCUGAUGCAGCGACGCCGCGUGAGGGAUGACGGCUUUCGGGUUGUAAACCUCUUUCGCUACCGAACAAGGCUCCAUAUUGGUGGGGUUGAGGGUAGGUGGAUAAGAAGCGCCGGCUAACUACGUGCCAGCAGCCGCGGUAAUACGUAGGGCGCGAGCGUUGUCCGGAAUUAUUGGGCGUAAAGAGCUCGUAGGCGGCUUGUCGCGUCUGCUGUGAAAACGCGGGGCUUAACUCCGCGCGUGCAGUGGGUACGGGCAGGCUAGAGUGUGGUAGGGGUGACUGGAAUUCCUGGUGUAGCGGUGGAAUGCGCAGAUAUCAGGAGGAACACCGAUGGCGAAGGCAGGUCACUGGGCCAUUACUGACGCUGAGGAGCGAAAGCAUGGGGAGCGAACA